rnacentral:autocatalytically_spliced_intron from 1 species
GGGAGCCGGAUGCGGUAGUUCCGCACGUCCGGUUCUGCGGAGGGGGUUGUCUGGGUGACCGGACAGCUCUACUCACC